UAGGGAAUCUUCCACAAUGGACGCAAGUCUGAUGGAGCAACGCCGCGUGAGUGAAGAAGGUCUUCGGAUCGUAAAGCUCUGUUGUUGGUGAAGAAGGAUAGAGGCAGUAACUGGUCUUUAUUUGACGGUAAUCAACCAGAAAGUCACGGCUAACUACGUGCCAGCAGCCGCGGUAAUACGUAGGUGGCAAGCGUUGUCCGGAUUUAUUGGGCGUAAAGCGAGCGCAGGCGGAAUGAUAAGUCUGAUGUGAAAGCCCACGGCUCAACCGUGGAACUGCAUCGGAAACUGUCAUUCUUGAGUGCAGAAGAGGAGAGUGGAACUCCAUGUGUAGCGGUGGAAUGCGUAGAUAUAUGGAAGAACACCAGUGGCGAAGGCGGCUCUCUGGUCUGCAACUGACGCUGAGGCUCGAAAGCAUGGGUAGCGAACAGGAUUAGAUACCCUGGUAGUCCAUGCCGUAAACGAUGAGCGCUAGGUGUUGGGGACUUUCCGGUCC
rnacentral:rRNA from 1 species